rnacentral:rRNA from 1 species
AGUAGUUUGAUCAGUGGCUCGAGAGCGAACGCUGGCGGCAGGCUUAACACAUGCAAGUCGAGCGGGCGUAGCAAUACGUCAGCGGCAGACGGGUGAGUAACGCGUGGGAACGUACCUUUUGGUUCGGAACAACACAGGGAAACUUGUGCUAAUACCGGAUAAGCCCUUACGGGGAAAGAUUUAUCGCCGAAAGAUCGGCCCGCGUCUGAUUAGCUAGUUGGUAGGGUAAUGGCCUACCAAGGCGACGAUCAGUAGCUGGUCUGAGAGGAUGAUCAGCCACAUUGGGACUGAGACACGGCCCAAACUCCUACGGGAGGCAGCAGUGGGAAUAUUGGACAAUGGGGCAACCCUGAUCCAGCCAUGCCGCGAGAGUGAUGAAGGCCCUAGAGUUGUAAAGCUCUUUUGUGCGGGAAGAUAAUGACGGUACCGCAAGAAUAAGCCCCGGCUAACUUCGUG